GAAGGUGAAAGGGUCUCAGGCGGAGCCGGUUUGCGGGCUCCUUCUGCCAAACCUUACCAAUCGGCGGCCCGGAACAGGAUGGCUGCUCUUUUUCUGAAGAGGUUAACAUUACAAAGUGUAAAAACAGAAAAUACUUGCAUUAGAAGAUGUUUGGGUAAAUACGUCGUCCAAAAGACGGCGCUGGCGGAGCCAUCCCACAUUGCCUCUGCCCCGAGCCCGUCCUGCCUCAUUCACGCGGAAGCUUUUAGUACUGAAGACACCCAGGACAAGAGAGAAAAGAAGAAAAAGAAUGAAACCGCUUUUCGUAAUGUUGGAAGAAAAAUUAACGAGCGCAUCAUUCAGGUGCUGGACGAGAAGGGCAACGACCUGGGCCCCAUGCACCGGGCGAACGUGAUAAGGCUCAUGGCCGAGCAGGACCUGCGGCUGGUGCCGAGGGACCCCGGCGCCCAGCCCCCGCGGUACCAGCUCAUGACGGGCACGCAGAUCUACCAGGAGCGGCUCCGGCUCAGAGGCACGGAGAGGGCCGAGCCCAAGCCUGGACCCACCCUGACAAAGGAACUGACUUUUUCUUCAAAUAUUGGACAACAUGAUUUGGACACAAAGAGUAAACAGAUUCAGCAGUGGAUCGAGAAAAAGUACAAAGUUCAGAUUACAAUAAAGAAAGGGAAGAAUACAGAAGAGCCAGAAAACAAAAUGGAGGAGAUAUGUAAUCAAAUACUCCAGACUAUGCCUGGAAUAGCUACCUUCUCAUCCAGGCCACAGCCCAUCAGAGGGGGAAAGGCUGUGAUGUGUGUGCUUCGUCCCUUGAGCCAAAAGGAAGAGAAUGCGUGCAGAUCAGCUCUGGGGACCCAGAGAGGACGUGCUCUGAACAGAGAAAAUGGAAACGACGGAGCAUCCAAUGCUCUGCACCAAUGAUUUUAAUAAAAACGUGUCUGAGAGAAAAUAACUGAGCUGGCUGGUCUGCGGUCCUUCAAACAAAGCAGUCUGGGUCAUGCACGACGGCAUGCCUGCUGAGGCUCUGCUACAAUGAAGGAAACAGAAAAACAGUUUUAUUUGUAAAACACUGCCACUUGGUAUUCGGUAUCUGCUAAUAUGAAAACCCCAUGAGUCAUUUAC